GUGGGGAAUAUUGGGCAAUGGGCGCAAGCCUGACCCAGCAACGCAGCGUGAAGGAAGAAGGCUUUCGGGUUGUAAACUUCUUUUACCAGGGACGAAACAAAUGACGGUACCUGGUGAAUAAGCCACGGCUAACUACGUGCCAGCAGCCGCGGUAAUACGUAGGUGGCGAGCGUUAUCCGGAUUUAUUGGGUGAAAAGGGCGUGUAGGCGGGACAGCAAGUCAGAUGUGAAAACCAGAGGCUCAACCUCUGGCCUGCAUUUGAAACUGUUGUUCUUGAGUGUCGGAGAGGUAAUCGGAAUUCCGUGUGUAGCGGUGAAAAGCGUAGAUAUACGGAGGAACACCAGUGGCGAAGGCGGAUUACUGGACGAUAACUGACGCUGAGGCGCGAAAGCGUGGGGAGCAAACAGGAUUAGAAACCCUAGUAGUCC
rnacentral:rRNA from 1 species